rnacentral:rRNA from 1 species
AUGAACGCUGGCGGCGUGCCUAAUACAUGCAAGUCGAGCGAACAGACGAGGAGCUUGCUCCUCUGACGUUAGCGGCGGACGGGUGAGUAACACGUGGAUAACCUACCUAUAAGACUGGGAUAACUUCGGGAAACCGGAGCUAAUACCGGAUAAUAUAUUGAACCGCAUGGUUCAAUAGUGAAAGACGGUUUUGCUGUCACUUAUAGAUGGAUCCGCGACGCAUUAGCUAGUUGGUAAGGUAACGGCUUACCAAGGCGACGAUGCGUAGCCGACCUGAGAGGGUGAUCGGCCACACUGGAACUGAGACACGGUCCAGACUCCUACGGGAGGCAGCAGUAGGGAAUCUUCCGCAAUGGGCGAAAGCCUGACGGAGCAACGCCGCGUGAGUGAUGAAGGUCUUCGGAUCGUAAAACUCUGUUAUUAGGGAAGAACAAAUGUGUAAGUAACUAUGCACGUCUUGACGGUACCUAAUCAGAAAGCCACGGCUAACUACGUG